UACGUAGGGCGCAAGCGUUAUCCGGAAUUAUUGGGCGUAAAGAGCUCGUAGGCGGUUUGUCGCGUCUGUCGUGAAAGUCCGGGGCUCAACUCCGGAUCUGCGGUGGGUACGGGCAGACUAGAGUGAUGUAGGGGAGACUGGAAUUCCUGGUGUAGCGGUGAAAUGCGCAGAUAUCAGGAGGAACACCGAUGGCGAAGGCAGGUCUCUGGGCAUUAACUGACGCUGAGGAGCGAAAGCAUGAGGAGCGAACAGG
rnacentral:rRNA from 1 species